GGCGUGCAGGUCGGUGGUGUUACACACAUUCACGCUGUUGCAGGCGUGCAGGUCGGUGGUGGUACACACAUUCAUGCUGUUGCAGGAGUAUAGGUCGGUGGUGUUACACACAUUCACGCUGUUGCAGACGUGCAGGUCGGUGCUGUUACACACAUUCAUGCUGUUGCAGGCGUGCAGGUCGGUGGUGUUACAUUCACACUUGCAGGCGUGCAGGUCGGUGGUGUUACACACAUUCAUGCUGUUGCAGGCGUGCAGGUCGGUGGUGUUACACACAUUCACACUGUUGCAGGCGUGCAG
rnacentral:lncRNA from 1 species